AUGUCUGUAUGCCCAAGGGAAGUGUUUCACAGAAGAGAGGAGUUUUUCAAGCUGAUCAAGGAAGCCCCAGGAGGCUGUUUAAUUCAAAUACUCCCCACAAAUUGCCCCAAGUGUCCUGGCUGCAGAAUGCUAUACAGGAAUGAAAACAAAGACAUCCAAGCCUUGAGCCAUUUAGAAGAGGAAGAAGCCAAAAUCCAUGCCAGAGGUUCGACUGCUGGGUUUACUUAUGGCUUCAGGCACAAAUUAAUGACCUUCAAACAGUACAGUGAUAUCGUCUUGAGCCCYCUACUCAGCCAAUCUGCUUUGCUCUCAGCUGCUGAACCAUGUCUGAUCACCCCCUUUGAAGGGGAACGUGUGAUGUUGAGGAGCAAUGAGAUGUUUGCAGAGCCAUUUGUAGAAAGAGAAGACCAUCAGGUGGAACAAGGAAGCUGUUUUCUGCAGGAGGAGCCUGAAGCCAAGUAUCAAUUUGUUUUGAAACUGAAAUCCAGCCCAAGUCACUGA
rnacentral:lncRNA from 1 species